rnacentral:rRNA from 1 species
UACGUAGGGUGCAAGCGUUAUCCGGAAUUAUUGGGCGUAAAGAGCUCGUAGGCGGUUUGUCGCGUCUGCUGUGAAAACUGGAGGCUCAACCUCCAGCCUGCAGUGGGUACGGGCAGACUAGAGUGCGGUAGGGGAGACUGGAAUUCCUGGUGUAGCGGUGAAAUGCGCAGAUAUCAGGAGGAACACCCGUAGCGAAGGCGGCACUCUGGGCCGGAACUGACGCUGAGGAGCGAAAGCGUGGGGAGCGAACAGG